rnacentral:rRNA from 1 species
GACAGGACAAUGGGCUGCGACCUCGAAAGGGGAAGCCAAUCUCGAAACCUGUUCGUAGUUAGGAUUGAGGGCUGUAACUCGCCCUCAUGAAUCUGGAUUCCGUAGUAAUCGCGGGUCAACAUCCCGCGGUGAAUAUGUCCCUGCUCCUUGCACACACCGCCCGUCAAACCAUCCGAGCUGGUGUUGGAUGAGGCUUUGCUCAUAUGGGCAGAUUCGAAUCUGGUGUCAGUGAGGAGGGUUAAGUCGU